UGAGAAUGAUCUAAAUCUUGCUUGGGAUGCUUGGAAAACUACAGGUAUAUUCUUGAAAAUCACUGAUAUUCAUGCACCCAAACAAAGUAGGAAAUUUCGAAAUGGGCACUCUCCUUGGUUAACCCCAGAACUUAAGAAAUUAAUGUUUGAGAAGGACCGAUUGAAAAGAAUAGCAAUUAUACAUCUAAGUACUGGUUUGGAUGAGAUAUUAUAUAGGCUAUUAAAGGAAGCUUAAUCCCCAAUUAUAUCUUCAUCCUUAACUCAUAUUAUAAACUUAUCCAUAAGAAUUAUAGUGGGG